AGUGAACGCUGGCGGUAGGCCUAACACAUGCAAGUCGAACGGCAGCACAGUAAGAGCUUGCUCUUACGGGUGGCGAGUGGCGGACGGGUGAGGAAUACAUCGGAAUCUACUUUUUCGUGGGGGAUAACGUAGGGAAACUUACGCUAAUACCGCAUACGACCUACGGGUGAAAGCAGGGGAUCUUCGGACCUUGCGCGAUUGAAUGAGCCGAUGUCGGAUUAGCUAGUUGGCGGGGUAAAGGCCCACCAAGGCGACGAUCCGUAGCUGGUCUGAGAGGAUGAUCAGCAACACUGGAACUGAGACACGGCCCAGACUCCUACGGGAGGCAGCAGUGGGGAAUAUUGGACAAUGGGCGCAAGCCUGAUCCAGCCAUACCGCGUGGGUGAAGAAGGCCUUCGGGUUGUAAAGCCCUUUUGUUGGGAAAGAAAAGCAGCAGGUUAAUACCCCGCUGUUCUGACGGUACCCAAAGAAUAAGCACCGGCUAACUUCGUG
rnacentral:rRNA from 1 species